GUCAGGGACAUUUCUGAAGCGAGCGU
rnacentral:piRNA from 1 species